CGACGGCCGGAGAGGGGAGGAGGCGGCCCUAGCGCCAUUUUGUGGGAGCGAAGUGGUCGCUGGGCUGCUGUUGGAUUCGUCGCUGCUUCAGUUUCUCUGUCGGGCUUCCUAGCAGCGGCCUAGCGGCAAGACAAGCAAAGAUGUCCGAAUAUAUUCGGGUAACCGAAGAUGAGAAUGACGAGCCCAUUGAAAUACCAUCAGAAGACGAUGGGACAGUGCUGCUGUCCACAGUCACAGCCCAGUUUCCAGGGGCAUGUGGGCUUCGCUACAGGAAUCCAGUGUCUCAAUGUAUGAGAGGUGUCCGUCUGGUAGAAGGAAUUCUGCACGCCCCUGAUGCUGGCUGGGGGAACCUGGUGUAUGUUGUCAACUAUCCCAAAGAUAACAAAAGGAAAAUGGAUGAAACAGAUGCUUCAUCAGCAGUGAAAGUGAAAAGAGCAGUCCAGAAAACAUCUGAUUUAAUAGUGUUGGGCCUCCCAUGGAAAACAACUGAACAGGAUCUCAAAGAAUAUUUUAGUACCUUUGGAGAAGUUCUUAUGGUUCAGGUCAAGAAAGAUAUUAAAACUGGUCAUUCAAAAGGGUUUGGCUUUGUUCGUUUUACGGAAUAUGAAACCCAGGUGAAAGUAAUGUCACAGCGACAUAUGAUAGAUGGACGAUGGUGUGACUGUAAACUUCCAAAUUCUAAGCAAAGCCCAGAUGAGCCUUUGAGAAGCAGAAAGGUGUUUGUUGGGCGUUGUACGGAAGACAUGACUGCUGAUGAGUUGCGGCAGUUUUUUUGCCAGUACGGAGAAGUGGUAGAUGUCUUCAUUCCCAAACCGUUCAGGGCUUUUGCCUUUGUUACGUUUGCAGAUGAUCAGGUUGCCCAGUCUCUUUGUGGAGAGGACUUGAUCAUUAAAGGAAUCAGCGUACAUAUAUCCAAUGCUGAACCUAAACACAAUAGCAAUAGACAGUUAGAAAGAAGUGGAAGAUUUGGUGGUAAUCCAGGUGGCUUUGGGAAUCAGGGUGGAUUUGGUAACAGUAGAGGGGGUGGAGCUGGUUUGGGAAACAAUCAAGGUAGUAAUAUGGGCGGAGGGAUGAACUUUGGUGCUUUUAGCAUUAAUCCAGCAAUGAUGGCUGCAGCCCAGGCAGCUCUGCAGAGCAGCUGGGGUAUGAUGGGCAUGUUAGCCAGUCAGCAGAACCAGUCAGGCCCAUCAGGUAAUAACCAAAGCCAAGGCAACAUGCAGAGGGAGCCAAAUCAGGCUUUUGGUUCUGGAAAUAACUCUUAUAGUGGUUCUAAUUCAGGUGCAGCAAUUGGUUGGGGAUCAGCAUCAAAUGCAGGGUCAGGCAGUGGUUUUAAUGGCGGCUUUGGCUCAAGCAUGGAUUCUAAAUCUUCUGGCUGGGGAAUGUAGACAUUGGGUUAUCGUUAGUUGGUAUAAACUGGUGGGAAUUCAGAUUUUUCUAAACUCAUGGUAAGUAUAUUGUAAAAUACGUAUGUACUAAGAAUUUUCAAAAUUGGUUUGUUCAGUGUGGAGUAUAUUCAGCAGUAUUUUUGACAUUUUUCUUUAGAAAAAGAGGAAGAGCUAAAGGAAUUUUAUAAGUUUUGUUACAUAAAGGGUUGAAAUAUUGAGUGUUUGAAAGGGAACUGCUGUUUGCCUGAUUGGUAAACCAACACACUACAAUUGAUAUCAAAAGGUUUCUCCUGUAAUAUUUUAUCCCUGGACUUGUCAAGUGAAUUCUUUGCAUGUUCAAAAUGGAAACCAUUGGUUAGAACUACAUUCUUUUCUCCUUGUUUUAAUUUGAACCCCACCAUAUGGAUUUUUUCCUUAGGAAAAUCUCCUUUUUGGAGAUCAUGGUGUCACAGUGUUUGGUUCUUUUGUUUUUUGUUUUUGUUUUUUAACACUUGUCUCCCUUCAUAUACAAAAGUACAAUAUGAAGCCUUCAUUUAAUCUCUGCAGUUCAUCUCAUUUCAAAUGUUUAUGGAAGAAGCACUUCAUUGAAAGUAGUGCUGUAAAUAUUCUGCCAUAGGAAUACUUCCGUCUUCAUGCUUUCUCAUUCAAGAAUUCGUCACGCUGCACAGGCUGUGUCUUUGACGCACUUGCACUGUUACUCAGCAGCAGUAACAUGGUAACACUUAAAAUGGUAUUCGGGGACCUCCAAAGACUAAACUGACAAGCCUUCAAGGAGCCCAGGGGUAAGUUAUCUUUGUCAAUGGCAUGGUUUUGAUCCCUUAUUUACACUUGUGUAAAUCUAGUUACCAGUCUUAGAAGGCUUUCAAUGUUGACUAGCCUUCUGUUAACAUGUUUAUGGUACUGCAUAGCUAUGGGUAUUUAAUUCUACCCUAAAGAAAAAAAAAAUGAAGUUUAGAAGUAAACUAUUUGGCAGAGAUUUGUUUUUAAAGUCUAUUUGAUCAUCUAAAUGCAUUCAUUCUAAAAAAUUUUUGAACCAGUUGAAUAAAAAUUUUUGUUGCCACCACAGUUUAGUGUCUGGAGUCUUACUGGAAAAACAGUUUCUUUUUGUUUUUAAUGUGACAAAGAUGCUGGAAAGUUACCUUUAAAAAGUGAGUCUCAAGAAGUUGCACUUCAUAUGCACAAGAGAAGUUAGUCAAAACUCACAAUGAAUUUCUACAUAUAAUGGUAACUGUUUGGCUAGAAUGAAAAAGUUUGUUAAAUGUUAAGUAUUAAAGCUUUUUAGGGAAGAAUGGCCAGCUAAAUGAAAUGAGAUUUUUAAGGUUAAGUCAGAGCUUAAAUGCUGUCCUUAGGAAAAAGAUGUUGAGUACUUAGUAAUUCAGAAGAUGUAUGUGAUAAUUAGAAUAAUUUUUUGUUGUUGAAUACUAGGAGAGAAACUCUUAACUGUGUAUUUAAGUUCUGUACUUAGCUGUUGUACGAUCUGUAAUCUAUUUUUAAAUGUGCCCAAGUAUUCCACAUUCGUGGUAAGAAGGAAAAAAACACUACAGAUUGAUUUAUCAAUAAUACCGCCACUUAUUUUUAAUGUUGUAUUUCAUCUUAUGGAAAUGCCACAUUUGAUUCAACUGUCUUCUGAAUUUGAAAAUAAAAUAUUUAUUCCAAGUGCUAGGAACAUCCUCACAGCUAAAUUAAAAUCUUAGCAUUGGAAUUACCAGGUCAAAGACUAUGCAUGCUUUUAAGACUUGUGGAAUAGAUUUGCCAAAUUGUCCUUCAGAAAAUUCAUCGCCUUCGACAGUGUGAACUGGUGCUGUUCCAUGCUCUUCUUUUCUGCCAGUUUGAGAAGUGAAAAAUUAUAGCAUCGCUUUUAACAUGGAAAUCAGUCUAUACCUAGGCCAAAGUAUUGAUAUUUCCAAUUUAUCUACCCAAGAAAAACAUGAUUCAAAGUAAUUCCUGAACCAAUACUGCUAUAAUAUGUAACGCUCUCAGAGAACAAUAAGAACAAGUACAAAAACUGGAGAAAAACAGUUAAAGAACAUGAACAGGCAAUUUCCAGAAAUGCACGUGGCCAGUGCAAAAAGACACUGGACUUUUGUAAGUAAGUCCAAAUUUAACCAGUGAGUUUCUGUUGGAUUGGCAACGGUGAAUAUCACUACAAUGGUUUAUGUCCCCUUCAGUCAGAGAGUAAGUGGUGGAAAAGUGGCAAGUGGAGAAGUGCCUGAAAGGCACAUCUCACCUGUAGUUUGGUUUGGUUUUGAGGUGGAACAGCAACUGUCGUGUUAAUGUUUCUCAGGUCAGUUUGCUGCUGAGGUCUUUUACAGGUAUUUUUUAGAACAAAGAAUCAUGUACUCACUGGAGACACACAAGUUAAAAACUAUUAAUUAUGUUCUUGAUCCAGGGAAGAUAGUUAAUGACUUUUGUGUAGACCCCAUACUGAUCUGCCUCCCCACAACUGAUGGAACCCCAGGACACUAUUCCUCCCACAAACCAUUUCUGUGUCUCAUUAUGUAGAAACACUAAUGCCCCCCCACUGUCGCCUUUACAGCUGUCCUUGCCCCCACUUUCUAAACCAGCACAAAGCAUGUUGUCAGUUACCCUUCCCCCCGGAUAGGACUUCUUUGCAUAUGCCGCAGUACAGUUUUGAUGGUCAACAACUGGUAUGUCAACAAACAUUAGAUUUCUGGCAAGAAAACCCCUUUGGGUUAAUCCCCAUCCAGAUGCAGUUCCAAUAUCAUUGGUUCUCAUGAAGCAUUCAGCUUCUUUUCUUGGCAAACAAAUAGGCAUGAUGUUUCUAUUUAAUACAACUUUGUUCUUCAAUUUAAUCAAUGCUAUGUCAUUAUCGUAACCAGCAUUAUGAGUGUAACGUUCAUGUAUAAAAAUGGCCUCGGCCCAGGCUUGUGUAUAAUGAGGUGACAGUCUCUUCAGGGCACCCAUUCUAAUGUCUAGGGAGGCGGCGUCUUCUCUUUGCUCAUAUACAGCAUGAGCAGCUGUUAGGAUCCAGUUGUCAUAUAGAAGUGCACCUGCUGCUAUAGUUUUACCUAAUAACAGGGCUUGCCAAGGAAAAUCGCCAAGCUUUGCAUUUUGUCCUCCAUAUAUACGACCUUCUGUGGUACGGGUGGAUAUUCCACAAACUGGGGGAAAAAAGAUGUAUAGAGCCUUUAUAGAAACCCGAUGGUGUUUUUUCUCCAAUUAUUACCACUUUGGAGUUGUGUAUAUGUAAUGUCAACCAAAAAUUGCAUCACAUAAUUUGGUGGGUGUCCACCUAUACAGGCAAGUGAGACUGCUUAAAACACUGUUCAAAGACCUGAUAAAACCAUUUGGUAUUUUUUAGCUCUGCAGAAAAUGAGGUGAGUGAAAAUUAACUUUUAGAAACUGAUUUGUUUUGGUAAAAUAAUUUGGUCUCGCAAUUGGGAAAAUAUUUAAUAGGGCAAACAGGAAUUGUCUGAGCUGAUGUGCGUAGGAAGUGAAAAAUAACCUUUUCAUUGCUUCUGUCUUCCAACUUGUAAAAUGGGGUAUUUACCAUGUAGUUCUGGGAAAGCAGAAACUAAGGUCACUAUCAUAGGAUUUGCAGAAUUACUUUCACCUUUGUACAUUAAAAUGUUUUUUAAAAAUUAGAAUGUUGCAGUUGUAGCCAGGAACCUUUAGGUUCAGAAAUUAUUUUGGGUCUAGUUGUUUCUUCCAAACACUAAACUUUAUUAUGUAUUGCUAACUAAAUAUGCUCAUAAAUGUAGCAAAUAUGUUUCCUGUUGUGGCAGAAUACUCUUAUUAAAGCUUACAAACAUUGUUGUCAGCUAAGAUGCAGGUUUUUAAAAAAGACUAAUUUAAGCCAAAUAGCACAGGGGUGAUGAGUAUAUUAUUACCUUUCUGAUUUUUUUUUUAAGCACUCAACUAUAUCUUCAGAGCAGAUUCUGGUAAAACUUUUUUUUAAGUACUGUUAAAAGGCAAAUUGCAUUAAUGUUUAAAAACUAGAUGUCAUUGAAAACAAUUGCUUAGGGAAAUAAUGAGGUUAUUAGCUUUGGGUUUUAAUAGCAUUUUUAAAGAGAAGAAAUCAUGUUUAUAAAUGUAUAAAUGGUUCAAGAUAAUUUUAAAAAUCAUUUAAUUUUUUAUGCUUGCCUAGUUGUAAGGUCAAAAAUAAUCAAAUGACUGAUACAGUCAGCACCAACAACCUCUCCAUAUGGAAGGGGUAAUGAGAACAUACUAUUUGGAAAUAAUAAGCUGGUCUAAGAGCCAAGUGCUGAAGUUACAUUUCUGCCUACACAGCUGAAGCACUACUUACUGUCUGCUACCCAGUUCUACUUUCCAUCAGUUAUGAAUCUCGUGUAUAAAUGUAUCCAUUACCAGGCUCACAGACAGGGGGUGAUUUUUCUCCUUUGGAGCUCGUCCAGAAUCCAUCAGCCUCACACACAUAUUUACCUGCAAAUCAUUGAAAGAGCAAAAAUGUUUAACUGCAUGUGCAAAGGUGGUUGUCAUUUGCUUGAAUACCCCCUCGAAAAUGCAGAUUCCUGAGCAUCAGUGGGAAACAGAGGCGUCUGAAUAACCAUUUUACAUGAUUUCAUAAAUAGGAGGUCUCUGCAUUACCAUGUAUGCUUGCAAAGUGGAAACCUUUUAGAUGUGUAACUUGAAUAUGUAUCAAGAUCUUAAGUGCUUAAUGAUAAGGUUUUGACUUGUUAAAUUAAACCAUUUGGAAUAUA